rnacentral:rRNA from 1 species
GUGGGGAAUAUUGGGCAAUGGGGGAAACCCUGACCCAGCAACGCCGCGUGAAGGAAGACGGUUUUCGGAUUGUAAACUUCUUUUAUCGGGGACGAAAAAAAUGACGGUACCCGAAGAAAAAGCCACGGCUAACUACGUGCCAGCAGCCGCGGUAAUACGUAGGUGGCAAGCGUUGUCCGGAUUUACUGGGUGUAAAGGGCGUGUAGGCGGGACUGCAAGUCAGAUGUGAAAUACCAAGGCUUAACCUUGGGGCUGCAUUUGAAACUGUAGUUCUUGAGUGAUGGAGAGGCAGGCGGAAUUCCUAGUGUAGCGGUGAAAUGCGUAGAUAUUAGGAGGAACACCAGUGGCGAAGGCGGCCUGCUGGACAUUAACUGACGCUGAGGCGCGAAAGCGUGGGGAGCAAACAGGAUUAGAAACCCCGGUAGUCC